rnacentral:rRNA from 1 species
GACGUAGGGGGCGAGCGUUGUCCGGAUUUAUUGGGCGUAAAGCGCGCGUAGGCGGCUGCGCAAGUCGGUUGUGAAACCCCGGGGCUCAACCCCGGAACUGCAUCCGAUACUGCGUGGCUAGAGGUAGGUAGGGGAGAUCGGAAUUCCUGGUGUAGCGGUGAAAUGCGCAGAUAUCAGGAGGAACACCGGUGGCGAAGGCGGAUCUCUGGGCCUUAACUGACGCUCAGGCGCGAAAGCUAGGAGAGCGAACAGG